rnacentral:rRNA from 1 species
GAGGCUUAACACAUGCAAGUCGAGGGGCAGCAUGGUCUUAGCUUGCUAAGGCCGAUGGCGACCGGCGCACGGGUGAGUAACACGUAUCCAACCUGCCGUCUACUCUUGGACAGCCUUCUGAAAGGAAGAUUAAUACAAGAUGGCAUCAUGAGUCCGCAUGUUCACAUGAUUAAAGGUAUUCCGGUAGACGAUGGGGAUGCGUUCCAUUAGAUAGUAGGCGGGGUAACGGCCCACCUAGUCUUCGAUGGAUAGGGGUUCUGAGAGGAAGGUCCCCCACAUUGGAACUGAGACACGGUCCAAACUCCUACGGGAGGCAGCAGUGAGGAAUAUUGGUCAAUGGGCGAGAGCUUGAACCAGCCAAGUAGCGUGAAGGAUGACUGCCCUAUGGGUUGUAAACUUCUUUUAUAAAGGAAUAAAGUCGGGUAUGGAUACCCGUUUGCAUGUACUUUAUGAAUAAGGAUCGGCUAACUCCGUGCCAGCAGCCGCGGUAAUACGGAGGAUCCGAGCGUUAUCCGGAUUUAUUGGGUUUAAAGGGAGCGUAGAUGGAUGUUUAAGUCAGUUGUGAAAGUUUGCGGCUCAACCGUAAAAUUGCAGUUGAUACUGGAUAUCUUGAGUGCAGUUGAGGCAGGCGGAAUUCGUGGUGUAGCGGUGAAAUACUUAGAUAUCACGAAGAACUCCGAUUGCGAAGGCAGCCUGCUAAGCUGCAACUGACAUUGAGGCUCGAAAGUGUGGGUAUCAAACAGGAUUAGAUACCCUGGUAGUCCACACGGUAAACGAUGAAUACUCGCUGUUUGCGAUAUACUGCAAGCGGCCAAGCGAAAGCGUUAAGUAUUCCACCUGGGGAGUACGCCGGCAACGGUGAAACUCAAAGGAAUUGACGGGGGCCCGCACAAGCGGAGGAACAUGUGGUUUAAUUCGAUGAUACGCGAGGAACCUUACCCGGGCUUAAAUUGCAGAUGAAUUACGGUGAAAGCCGUAAGCCGCAAGGCAUCUGUGAAGGUGCUGCAUGGUUGUCGUCAGCUCGUGCCGUGAGGUGUCGGCUUAAGUGCCAUAACGAGCGCAACCCUUGUUGUCAGUUACUAACAGGUUCCGCUGAGGACUCUGACAAGACUGCCAUCGUAAGAUGUGAGGAAGGUGGGGAUGACGUCAAAUCAGCACGGCCCUUACGUCCGGGGCUACACACGUGUUACAAUGGGGGGUACAGAGGGCCGCUACCACGCGAGUGGAUGCCAAUCCCCAAAACCUCUCUCAGUUCGGACUGGAGUCUGCAACCCGACUCCACGAAGCUGGAUUCGCUAGUAAUCGCGCAUCAGCCACGGCGCGGUGAAUACGUUCCCGGGCCUUGUACACACCGCCCGUCAAGCCAUGGGAGCCGGGGGUACCUGAAGUGCGUAACCGCGAGGAGCGCCCUAGGGUAAAACUGGUGACU